rnacentral:rRNA from 1 species
AAUGAACGCUGGCGGCAGGCCUAACACAUGCAAGUCGAACGGAUCCUUCGGGAUUAGUGGCGGACGGGUGAGUAACGCGUGGGAACAUAUCCUUUGGUACGGAAUAGCCUCGGGAAACUGGGAGUAAUACCGUAUGUGGUCGAGAGACGAAAGAUUUAUCGUAAAAGGAUUGGCCCGCGUUGGAUUAGGUAGUUGGUGGGGUAAUGGCCUGCCAAGCCGACGAUCCAUAGCUGGUUUGAGAGGAUGAUCAGCCACACUGGGACUGAGACACGGCCCAGACUCCUACGGGAGGCAGCAGUGGGGAAUCUUAGACAAUGGGGGAAACCCUGAUCUAGCCAUGCCGCGUGAUCGAUGAAGGCCUUAGGGUUGUAAAGAUCUUUCAGGUGGGAAGAUAAUGACUGUACCACCAGAAGAAGCCCCGGCUAACUACGUGCCAGCCGCCGCUGUAA